AAGGAUCAUUAUCAUGUAAUAUCCAGUCAUGCUGCUGCGUGAGCUGAAUAAACCCACCCUGUGUACGCUGUCCUGUUGCUUCCGCCGGGCGCGGCGCAAUCGCCGCGCCAGGCGGAAGGUGAAAUAUAACCUCCGAGUUUUACGAUGCAACCUGUCUGAAUGCUAAUAGGAACGAUGGAAAAUUUAAAACUUUCAGCAACGGAUCUCUUGGUUCUCGCAUCGAUGAAGAACGCAGCGAAAUGCGAUAAGUAGUGUGAAUUGCAGAAUUUAGUGAAUCAUCGAAUCUUUGAACGCACAUUGCGCCUUCUGGCAUUCCGGGAGGCAUGCCUGUUCGAGAGUCAUUGACAACCGAUUCGAGCCCCCAUUUCCCCACGUUCUUCGAGGGGUUGUGCCUGGGGUAUCGUUGUUGGUGGUGGAGAAAUGAGUUGCCGGGCUUGCCCCCCAUGUCCGGCAAAUCUCCUCCCCACUGAAAUCCGGCGAUGGGUUUUCUCUUUAUGAUC
rnacentral:rRNA from 1 species